rnacentral:rRNA from 1 species
UAAGCGACUAAGCGUACACGGUGGAUGCCCUGGCAGUCAGAGGCGAUGAAGGACGUGCUAAUCUGCGAUAAGCGUCGGUAAGGUGAUAUGAACCGUUAUAACCGGCGAUUUCCGAAUGGGGAAACCCAGUGUGAUUCGUCACACUAUCAUUAACUGAAUCCAUAGGUUAAUGAGGCGAACCGGGGGAACUGAAACAUCUAAGUACCCCGAGGAAAAGAAAUCAACCGAGAUUCCCCCAGUAGCGGCGAGCGAACGGGGAGCAGCCCAGAGCCUGAAUCAGUGUGUGUGUUAGUGGAAGCGUCUGGAAAGGCGUGCGAUACAGGGUGACAGCCCCGUACACAAAAAUGCACAUGCUGUGAGCUCGAUGAGUAGGGCGGGACACGUGGUAUCCUGUCUGAAUAUGGGGGGACCAUCCUCCAAGGCUAAAUACUCCUGACUGACCGAUAGUGAACCAGUACCGUGAGGGAAAGGCGAAAAGAACCCCGGCGAGGGGAGUGAAAAAGAACCUGAAACCGUGUACGUACAAGCAGUGGGAGCACGCUUAGGCGUGUGACUGCGUACCUUUUGUAUAAUGGGUCAGCGACUUAUAUUCUGUAGCAAGGUUAACCGAAUAGGGGAGCCGAAGGGAAACCGAGUCUUAACUGGGCGUUAAGUUGCAGGGUAUAGACCCGAAACCCGGUGAUCUAGCCAUGGGCAGGUUGAAGGUUGGGUAACACUAACUGGAGGACCGAACCGACUAAUGUUGAAAAAUUAGCGGAUGACUUGUGGCUGGGGGUGAAAGGCCAAUCAAACCGGGAGAUAGCUGGUUCUCCCCGAAAGCUAUUUAGGUAGCGCCUCGUGAAUUCAUCUCCGGGGGUAGAGCACUGUUUCGGCAAGGGGGUCAUCCCGACUUACCAACCCGAUGCAAACUGCGAAUACCGGAGAAUGUUAUCACGGGAGACACACGGCGGGUGCUAACGUCCGUCGUGAAGAGGGAAACAACCCAGACCGCCAGCUAAGGUCCCAAAGUCAUGGUUAAGUGGGAAACGAUGUGGGAAGGCCCAGACAGCCAGGAUGUUGGCUUAGAAGCAGCCAUCAUUUAAAGAAAGCGUAAUAGCUCACUGGUCGAGUCGGCCUGCGCGGAAGAUGUAACGGGGCUAAACCAUGCACCGAAGCUGCGGCAGCGACGCUGAUGCGUUGUUGGGUAGGGGAGCGUUCUGUAAGCCUGUGAAGGUGUACUGUGAGGUAUGCUGGAGGUAUCAGAAGUGCGAAUGCUGACAUAAGUAACGAUAAAGCGGGUGAAAAGCCCGCUCGCCGGAAGACCAAGGGUUCCUGUCCAACGUUAAUCGGGGCAGGGUGAGUCGACCCCUAAGGCGAGGCCGAAAGGCGUAGUCGAUGGGAAACAGGUUAAUAUUCCUGUACUUGGUGUUACUGCGAAGGGGGGACGGAGAAGGCUAUGUUGGCCGGGCGACGGUUGUCCCGGUUUAAGCGUGUAGGCUGGUUUUCCAGGCAAAUCCGGAAAAUCAAGGCUGAGGCGUGAUGACGAGGCACUACGGUGCUGAAGCAACAAAUGCCCUGCUUCCAGGAAAAGCCUCUAAGCAUCAGGUAACAUCAAAUCGUACCCCAAACCGACACAGGUGGUCAGGUAGAGAAUACCAAGGCGCUUGAGAGAACUCGGGUGAAGGAACUAGGCAAAAUGGUGCCGUAACUUCGGGAGAAGGCACGCUGAUAUGUAGGUGAAGUCCCUCGCGGAUGGAGCUGAAAUCAGUCGAAGAUACCAGCUGGCUGCAACUGUUUAUUAAAAACACAGCACUGUGCAAACACGAAAGUGGACGUAUACGGUGUGACGCCUGCCCGGUGCCGGAAGGUUAAUUGAUGGGGUCAGCGCAAGCGAAGCUCUUGAUCGAAGCCCCGGUAAACGGCGGCCGUAACUAUAACGGUCCUAAGGUAGCGAAAUUCCUUGUCGGGUAAGUUCCGACCUGCACGAAUGGCGUAAUGAUGGCCAGGCUGUCUCCACCCGAGACUCAGUGAAAUUGAACUCGCUGUGAAGAUGCAGUGUACCCGCGGCAAGACGGAAAGACCCCGUGAACCUUUACUAUAGCUUGACACUGAACAUUGAGCCUUGAUGUGUAGGAUAGGUGGGAGGCUUUGAAGUGUGGACGCCAGUCUGCAUGGAGCCGACCUUGAAAUACCACCCUUUAAUGUUUGAUGUUCUAACGUUGACCCGUAAUCCGGGUUGCGGACAGUGUCUGGUGGGUAGUUUGACUGGGGCGGUCUCCUCCUAAAGAGUAACGGAGGAGCACGAAGGUUGGCUAAUCCUGGUCGGACAUCAGGAGGUUAGUGCAAUGGCAUAAGCCAGCUUGACUGCGAGCGUGACGGCGCGAGCAGGUGCGAAAGCAGGUCAUAGUGAUCCGGUGGUUCUGAAUGGAAGGGCCAUCGCUCAACGGAUAAAAGGUACUCCGGGGAUAACAGGCUGAUACCGCCCAAGAGUUCAUAUCGACGGCGGUGUUUGGCACCUCGAUGUCGGCUCAUCACAUCCUGGGGCUGAAGUAGGUCCCAAGGGUAUGGCUGUUCGCCAUUUAAAGUGGUACGCGAGCUGGGUUUAGAACGUCGUGAGACAGUUCGGUCCCUAUCUGCCGUGGGCGCUGGAGAACUGAGGGGGGCUGCUCCUAGUACGAGAGGACCGGAGUGGACGCAUCACUGGUGUUCGGGUUGUCAUGCCAAUGGCACUGCCCGGUAGCUAAAUGCGGAAGAGAUAAGUGCUGAAAGCAUCUAAGCACGAAACUUGCCCCGAGAUGAGUUCUCCCUGACUCCUUGAGAGUCCUGAAGGAACGUUGAAGACGACGACGUUGAUAGGCCGGAUGUGUAAGCGCAGCGAUGCGUUGAGCUAACCGGUACUAAUGAACCGUGAGGCUUAACCU